rnacentral:lncRNA from 1 species
GAGCUUCUAGGUGAGUGGGCCUAUCCAAGUUCUGAGGGGGUGACACAGCCCAGGUCCAAGGGGACAGAAGGCCCUGUGCGGGGACCCUGCCAGACCUCGCCUUCCGUAUCGCUCUGUCUGGCUGCUGUCUGUAUCCUAAUAAGCUGUUAAAGGUGUUCCCCUGAGUUCUGGGAGCCACUCUAGCAAAUCAGUGCAACCAGAGCAAGCGGUCAUGGGAACCUCUGAUCUACAGCUGGUGUGUUCAACGCUGGCGACAACCCGGACUCGCCACUGGCAAGGGAACGGGGCUGAGCGCGUCCUGUGGGAUCUGAGGCUCCCUCCAGCAUACGGAAGUUCCAGACCGGGGACUGAUGUGAGCCAGAGCAGGAGCAAUGCCGGAUCCUUAACCCACUGCCCCCAUCAGGAAUCGAACUGGCCCGGCCACAGAGACAAGCCAGAUCCUCAAGCCACCGCGUCACAGCGGGGACGCCACAUCGCGCCGUUCUCCGUCAUCUCCCUCUCCCGCCACCUGAGGAACGCAGGCGUGAGGUUCUACCUGUGCUUCAGAGAGCGUCAUGGCCCCUGAGGCCUUGGUGCCCUGAGAAGAGCCUCCCUCCUCUACCCACCUGGGGAACAUGGAGUCAGCGUUAAAGAUCUGGUUCCGGUGUCCUCACUCCUGCGAAACCCGCCCUGAGGUUGCUCACGCAGUCCGGGGCGGCUGCGUCUGUGCUCCCAGGGCUCCUGGACACUGAGACCCAUGCACCCUCCUAGAAGAGAGUCAAGUACCACCGCCCCGUCAGUUACAUGGUCCUGCGCCUUCUCUGCCUCACUUCUCAUUGUAUUCUCGGCAUUUAACACAGAGACUGUCACAUGGUUUACUGAAAGUCACUAAAUGUUUAUCGAAAGGAGCACUGGCUUAGAUGCUGCAUCUGUGAGCCACGCGCCAAAGGAGGUACACGCACUGUGAGAGGGCCUGCAGGUGCAAGAUGACAAAGUCUAACCACACACCCCGCACAGCAGCACUCAGGCACCCAGCCCUGCCCGCACACAACCUGUGUUAACUCUUCCACCCCCACAGGUUCUCCUUGUUCGCGGGCAGAUUCCAGAUGCUGCAAAGUCAUCUUUAACCUGGUUUCCCCUCUCAGACCUUAAUUUCCCUCCAGGAGCCCAUGAAGCUAAUACUCAUGUGUCUUUUUAAAACUUGAAUCACUUCCAAAGUUUUCAGGGCUUACUUUUCAAAGGACUCGCUGGUAGAGCUGCAACUCACUGUGCAUUUCUCAUAGUUUGUCUUAAAUUGUAUUGCAACUUCUUGAAUGUGAUAGAUGACCAGAUUUUGUUUCAAAAUUCAUAUAAGAGGUAUCUUAUAGAAUUCAUCAACAAAAAUAACACCAACAUAAAAGCUUUUAUUUACUCAGCACUUCCUUCAGGGCCAGACACAGAUUCUCCUCUAUGUCCCUCCUGUACUUAACUCAUUUAAGUGCAAAACUAAUUCCAGUGAGAGCAAAUACUUUCUUACCCUCCAUUCGAGAUGUAUUUUGAUUCAGUAAGUGUACCCCCAUCUUGGCUCUGGGAUUUACCAGAAGGAUAAUAUGUAUGUUGUGUACGUUUAUUUUUCGGAUACAUCAC